AUUGAACGCUGGCGGCAGGCUUAACACAUGCAAGUCGAACGAGUGGCGGACGGGUGAGUAAUGUCUGGGAAACUGCCUGAUGGAGGUGGAUAACUGCUGGAAACGGUAGCUAAUACCGCAUACCAUCAGAUGUGCCCAGAUGGGAUUAGCUGGUUGGUGGGGUAAUGGCUCACGUAGGCGGCGAUCCCUAGCUGGUCUGAGAGGAUGACCAGCCACACGGGAACUGAGACACGGUCCAGACUCCACCGGGAGGCAGCAGUGGGGAAUAUUGCAAAAGGGGCGAAAGCCUGAUGCAGCCAGGCCGCGUGUGUGAAGAAGGCCUUCGGGUUGUAAAGCACUUUCAGCGGGGAGGCGUUACUCGAAGAAGAAGCACCGGCUAACUCCGUGCCAGCAGCCGCGGUAAUUC
rnacentral:rRNA from 1 species